GCGCAAAGAGAACCCUGUUCAGGACAGUUAACCUGGAAGCCUUUCCCAAGGGGAUAUAAUAACCUGAGCAAGUUCAGGAAGAAAUUCCUGAUGAUGGAGAUGGAGAUCUUUGGAAAAACAGGAGUGAAGCCAGCAACGGACUCCUCCUUUAGCAGCUGCUCAACAGGCAGAAAGUCAGCUGGUAUUGUUUGUUGUAUUCCAUGAGGGGAUAAACAUCACCUGUUGCAUUUCUGCCUGCAAGACUUCUUAGAGGAACAGGCCAGAAGAAAGGAUGACGGUGUUGUACACCACCCUGAGAUAUCUGAUCAAGAAGCGGUGACUGAACCACAAUUAGAGUGUUGUUAACUGCCCAGAGAUGAACGUUUGGGGCAGUGUACAAAUCUGACAAACAAACAAACAUCAAGGAUCGGCAGAAACUGGAGUUCAACACAGGUGGGUGAUCCAUUCCGGAAAGGCAUGAUUGCGCUCAGCACACCCACUUGAAGAUCACGGCCAAUGACUGCUGCCCUGGAGACAUCCUAAUGCCUUGCCCACAGUCUGGCGAUGCAAAUGCUAAGAAGCUUGCUGGGAUGAGGCCUCGGUGGACCAGGAAGAAGGAGGGCCUCCCCUGCCCUGAAUACGGAGGUUGCUGGGCUGCAGUUGGACGGACACCUGUGAUGUGAUUCAUGGUUCGAAAAAUUAACUGCGGGUUCGGCAACCUCCAGUUUCACGUUACGUGCGAAUGCAGCUGAUGUGUGUGAGUGACACAUUGGGGCAGGACUUCCUGAGUGCUUUUGGGCAGUUGUACUUGUGUACAGUUUUGUAUAUUUUAAAAAAAUGCCUGAAUAAGGCCACUGUUGGUAUACAAUGCAAUUUUUUUUUAAAAGGUAAUGCAAGUGAGGAAGGUGCUAUUCACAUUAAAGUUGGGAAAUACAUGGAACAUGCUGUUGUAGAAGACAGAAAUGAAAGCUUUGUUAAUUUUUCCGCCUGCCUCUGUGGGUCAGUUUGACUCCACUCUCUGGGCAAAGGUUAAAGAAGACAGAACUUAAUUUUGAGGAUGUGCUGACAAGUUCUCCCAGCCAUAAUCUCCUGGAACUAUUUCUGACAGCUACUGACCUCUUCCUCCGCUGGAACAGAUAAGGGGCAUUGUGAAGUGGCUAGAUUAAGCUGUUCUUCCUGGCUGAUCCCAGUUAUUUGAUACCACUUAUCAGCCAAUGGAGAAGAAAAAGGCAAUUUAUGGAUUUGUGUGUCCAACAAGCAAGGAUAAGCUGGUGCCAAGGCAAUUGGUAACGGCCAACUUUAGCUCCUUCAGCUUGCACUUUAAAAGCUUGGCUCUGUGGUCACUUAUGAGUUGCUUCCAGGAUUGGCGUGUUUAAAGCCCGGAUAGGUUAUCCAGCUCAACCUAGGAACAUAGGAAGCUGCCAUAUACUGAGUCAGACCAUUGGUCUAUCUAGCUCAUUAUUGUCUUCACAGACUGGCAGCGGCCUCUCCAAGGUUGCAGGCAGGAAUCUCUCUCUCACCCCACUAGCAUACCAGACUCACUGGCCCAUAUGAUGCGCAGCAUUGCAGCUCCUAAUGCUGCACACCAGACUGCUGGGGACUCUGAAUCCAGCCCCAACGGUGGUAAGUAUGGGCAAGAGCACUACCAGCACUUCUGCAGUCCCCCCUUCUUCGAAAUGGAGAAAACUGGGUGCAGCUCAGGGACGAAGCGAAGGAGAGGAUGCCGGCGCUGCGAGGAGGAAGAGGCGGAGGGGAAUCAAGAAGGGGCCGGAAUGGUGCUGCUAGAAUGGCCUGAGAAAGCAAGGGAUGGCCCAGUCAUGGGAUGAGGCUGCUGUUGUGGCUCUGUAUGAUUCCCUAUUCUGGCUAGCAUGCACCCAAAUGAUUAUCCCGCUGAAGCUCUGUAUGGGAAGAGCACCUGCCUGCAGAAUCUGCUGCCAGUCUGUGUAGACAAUACUGAGCUCAAUGGUCUGACUUGGUAUGUGGCAGUUUUACAUGUUCCUAUGUAAGACUGCAGAAGUGCUGCUAGCACUAUGGCCAAUUCUUACCAGCAUCAGGGCCGUGUUUAGACUCUGCAGCAGCCCAGAGCGCAGCAUUACAAAGAGCUGUAAUGCAGUGCAUCAUGUGGGCGAACAAUCGUGUGCAAGUACAUAGCUGUCUGCCUCCGUCAUUCAUCUGUUAAAAGGUAUAAUGUAUUUUAUAUGGUUUUGGAAAAUGCAUGACUUGAGGCAUAUAAAGAGUUCGGAAAACAAGCAGAUUAAACCAAAAACAAGGAAUAUUCAGAAAAGAAUAACAUGAUGGACACAGUCUCAAGGAUCAGGUUUGUCAAGCAUCUGCAGAGGUCUUAGCAGGGGGCCAACAGCUAAGUGAAGCCUCCAGUAAUAUUUGCUGGAUGGCAGUUAUUGUAAAGUCUCCUCCUCCUCCUCCCUGACAAAAUUCUUUCUCCUGCCCUCUCUUUCUUCCUAAGUCAUUGGCCUAAGUCAUUGUGAGUCUGAGGUGAUACACUAAAUGUUGCCUUGCCCCAUAUGCCCCUGGUGGGGGCCAUCCCCCUUUCAAAAUCAAUGAUCCCCAUCGCUCGUUGAGGUCAGCUGGAGAGGUCCAUCUCCAGUUACCACCGGUGCGUCUGCUAGCGACUCAGAACUGGGCCUUUUCUGUAGUUGCUCCUGGUCUAUGGAAUUCACUCCUGGCAGAUAUCUGCAGUUUAGGCUUGCUGUCAGCCUUUAAGAGAGCCCUAAAAACUUAUUUGUUUGGCCUGGCCUUCCAUGGCUUGUAAAACUUUUUUUAAAAAAGUAUUUUAAUUGGUUUUAAAUGGUUUUAAUUGUUUUUGAAUUAUUUUUAUAUUGUUUAUAGCACUGUGUUUUGAAUUGUAUGUUUUUAUGUCUUUUUAAAAGUUGUUGUACACCACCCAGAGCCUCUGGAUGGGGCGGUUUAUAAAUGUAAUAAAUAAAUAAACAAACAAACAAACA